AUAUAGCUUAGUAGUAAAGCACAUGUCUGACAUGUUUAAGGCCCUGGGUUUGACCCCCAGUAU
rnacentral:tRNA from 1 species